CUCCAAUGAUGAAACAUUAAAAUUUUUCUGACACCUCAUAUGAGAGCUGUACUGGCUCCUGAUUCUACAUUUUUUCUGAGAAUU
rnacentral:snoRNA from 1 species